rnacentral:lncRNA from 1 species
GUCCAACUAAAAAUAAAGUGGGAUCGGAGCUGGCCGUCCCGCGGAGCAGCCCGAGAGGCUGCAAUCAGAGCAUUGUGAUUAGUGGUCAGAGCUGCUGUCAAAGGAGCGUGACCAGGUCAUCUUCCCCAGGACUACGGCAGCUCCAGUGAAGACAAAACGUAGGGCUUCUGUGACCUUUGCUAUUUCUAUUGUUAGGCUUUUAGUUUUAAUCCAAAAAUAUGCAGGAUUUACAGUUAUUGUUGUCAGAAACUUCCAGAAGAAUCAACAAAGUGAAGUGGAAAGAAGCACAUCAGGGAGGUCCGGCCUCGGGGUUUGGCCCCUGGUCUUCCAUCUGCUUGGAAUCUGCUUUGGACACGUAUCCGCCCGGCUUGUUGCCUCAAUGAUGCAGGUGACGUACAAGAAGAAGCAGGCUGUCUCCACUAAGCAUCUGGGGCCCAGCUGCUGCCCUUUGCCACCACGGGGAGGCAGCAGACCAACACCCACAUGUGGAACACACUUGGCACCCUACAGUGACCUCGUGGGUGUAAUGGUCAGUGCUUCACUGCCUCUUCCAAAUCGCACGCAAAUUUCUCCUGUGGCUAACUCUAACCCAGAACCAGACGGUGAAGGGAAUUCUGGGAAAUCAGCUCCACCUUAGCUAAACAAAAAGCCGCUGUACCAGGUUUCAUCCUGUCAAUGUAUUUGUAGAUGCCUUUGAUUUUUCUUUAUAACACUAAAUACAGAAUAAUUCGAAUAUACAAGAGAAUAUAAAUACAGAGUCUUUCCAUGGUUUCCUUUAUGAAAUUACUAACUUUCUGUCAUCUUGAGUACCCAGUCAUCUUGGAUCAUUUCUUGCCAUGUGCUUAUUGGGAUGAAUUAAAACUACUGGCCUAUUUGUAUUUCACUUAUAUAUAUGAAAUGUUGAGUCUAUUCCUUAUACUUGCAGCAAAAACAGAUCCUCUGUGGUAUGUAUUUCAUGUAAAUGAGGAUUAGACAAACUUCAGGAUCCAUUUGGCAUUAGUAUCUGUGUAACAAUAGGCUUAUGUAUUUAUGGAGCUAGGUAGGUAUGUCUACAUGCUUGUUCUAACUCUCUCUCUAUAUAUAUGACCAGAUAGUGCUAUAGAGACUUAAGAACAGUCUUGAUGACUAUACAGACAGAUAUCUAAAAACCGAGAGCUGAGAAAUUGGUGUUGUAACUUCUGAGUAAUUAUUUCAACUACUGGACACCUGUCACUAAUCCAAAAGCCAAAGGAAUUGGCAGUUUUGUAUAAGACGUUCCUUCACUUUGGCUUCUUAAGAUGACAGAGGUAGUUGUAGAUAGGAAAUGUAGAAACAGCAAAAAAAAAAAAAAAAAAAAAAGAACUCUCACCACGAAUGAGUGAUAAGAAUUUGUUGAGCUCUCAGACUCUCCGCUUCUGCUUCCCUCAGCACCUCUUAGAUCCUUUAGACUUGUAGCUUGUUUUCCUUUUCUGAGCCAGCGGAGAUUGUAAAUCAACCUUCCAGUCUUCAUCGCCAACCCAGGGGAAAUAGGUGAGACAAGUGGUUUCCAAAUAUUUGAUAAAACAGAGAGGGUGUUUGGGGUAGAAAGAAUUCUGGUUUUCGGUUCAAUCCAUUUACCUACUUAUGUCCUCUUUAGCAUUAUUUAACUUGUUAGAGUUUAUGUUUCCUCUUCUGCAAAAUGGCUGUGAUCUUGUCUGCUUCCUAAGAAGCUCCAGGGUUGACGGAGGGGACUCGGAUGUCCACCUCCCACCUUCCUUCGCCAAUACUUCUUCACUGCCGAGACCCCAUUCGUCUCACGUGACUGAUACCUACUAAGCGGGCUACAACGAGUAGGCUCAUAUGAUUUUUAAAUGCUGGAGAAUUAGGUUUCAGUAGGCAAGUGGAACUUUUAAAAGAAUUUAUUCCUUAGUCUGACAACCACUGUUUAUUUUGCUUAACUGAAGCAACUGAUUUUUCCUUUAUCAGGAUAAAAUCAUGAAAGAUUUUGAAAAAGGCAAGAAAGAUUACUGGUGUCCUGUCUAGCAUACCCUUCUGGGUUAUCUUUGUCUCUUAUUGUCUUUGAGCUAUUUUACAACUCUGUCAGCUGUAGAUAACGGAUGC